rnacentral:lncRNA from 1 species
UAUUCCUCUCACAGGUCCGGCCAAUCAGAGCUCUGUUGCCAGGCAGAGCCUCUCUCUCUCCAGCUCUGGUCACCGUCAGCUUAGCUGUCCAGACACUCUUUUGCAAUUUUAGUUUGAAUUCAUUUUUUUUUUUAAGCACCUGAUAAGCACUUUUCUUCUUCUUCUUCUUCUUCUUCUUCUUCUUCUUCUUCUUCUUCUUCUUCUUCUUCUUCUUCUUCUUCUUCUUCUUCUUCUUCUCCUUCUAGUCCUCUAUUCAACCUCUCCCAAGGCCCUACUACAAAGACGCACAGGAAUGGAUAUCAGAAUCACUAACAAAGAAACCUCGGUCCAAGACAGAAAAUGAUCUUUACAAAGACCCUCGUUUCAUGCUUGUCAAUGCUGAGACAAUCUGCUCUGGAGGAUAUUUGCAGAAACUGAUUAAAAGGAGAAAGGAAGAAAGCAAGGCAAGCACAUUCCUGAGCGGGAGCUGCAAACGCCCGGGCUCAUGACUACUCCGGAGCACACUGGAAGCGGGGAAAUGGAGGAGGGAAGAUUGAGGGACCAAGAUGGCACGAUAAAAUGCUGUGGAUGGAAGGGCCAGUUCUCCUGGGAAUCUGAAGGCUGCUAGAGAAGGGAGAGAAACAUGCAAGUACAUCCCGUGCUGAGUGUUGUUGAAAUACUUGGAAAGAAGCUGGCAAAGACUAUCCGAGGGAUGCUAAGACAUCUCCGAACUUAUACAAUAGCAGGAUGUGAAUAGGAAUUUGAAGUUGUCUACACUCUACUCAGCUAUACCGUCAUUUUAAGGUGUAAAAAGUAAGAUUUUCAGCAAAUUGUAAUGGUUACAGAGUAUCUGGCU